rnacentral:rRNA from 1 species
UAGACUUCGGUCUAUGAGUAGAGCGGCGCACGGGUGAGUAACGCGUGGAUGAUCUACCCUUGAGUUCGGGAUAACGGUGCGAAAGCGCCGCUAAUACCGUAUAACAAUCCAUUUCAUCGUGGGUUCAAAGCAGGCCUCUUCGUGAAAGCUUGCGCUUGGGGAUGAGUCCGCGUCCCAUUAGCUUGUUGGCGGGGUAACGGCCCACCAAGGCUACGAUGGGUAGCUGGUCUGAGAGGAUGAUCAGCCACACUGGAACUGAAACACGGUCCAGACUCCUACGGGAGGCAGCAGUGGGGAAUAUUGCGCAAUGGGGGAAACCCUGACGCAGCGACGUCGUGUGAGGGAAGAAGGCCUUCGGGUCGUAAACCUCUGUCAGAAGGGAAGAACAUCCGGGAGUCGAACAGCCUCCCGGCCUGACGGUACCUUCAGAGGAAGCGCCGGCUAACUCCGUGCCAGCAGCCGCGGUAAUACGGAGGGCGCAAGCGUUAAUCGGAAUCACUGGGCGUAAAGCGUGCGUAGGCUGUUUGAUAAGUCAGGCGUGAAAUCCCUCGGCUCAACCGGGGAACUGCGUUUGA